UACGAAGGGUGCAAGCGUUACUCGGAAUUACUGGGCGUAAAGCGUGCGUAGGUGGUUCGUUAAGUCUGUCGUGAAAGCCCCGGGCUCAACCUGGGAAUGGCAGUGGAUACUGGCAAGCUAGAGUGCGGUAGAGGGUAGUGGAAUUCCCGGUGUAGCAGUGAAAUGCGUAGAGAUCGGGAGGAACACCAGUGGCGAAGGCGGCUACCUGGACCAGCACUGACACUGAAGCACGAAAGCGUGGGGAGCAAACAGG
rnacentral:rRNA from 1 species